AUGGCGGCUCAGAUUGACAUCUUGAACAAGAAGAUGGAUAGUAUCAUGUCAAAUUGCUUCGGUACUUCCGUAGCUUCAGUAAGUGUGCCUCAAAUGUGUGAUGUAUGUGGCCAAGCAGGUCAUCCUUCAAUAGAAUGCACCUUCUAUUCAGCAAUUGGAUCAUCGGUUUCAGAAGUAAGUCAUGCCCAAAGUCAAGGUCCAUUCUCAAACAGCUACAAUCCUUCUUGGAGGAACCAUCCAAACUUGUCGUACAAGAACAAUCAGUCAUAUGCAAGUGGAUCGACAAUACAAGGAAAUCCACCACCAAAUCAUCCAAGUCAAUUUCAAGUGCCAAGACAGAAUGAACAACAAAAUGUUCAGUCAAAUGGAAUGGAGGAAAUCAUGAAAAUGCAGUUGGAAUUGAUGAGCAAGAUGACAAAUGAAGUUAAUGGCUUAAAGGAUACUGUUAAGAUGCUUGUGAGCAAAAUGGAUAGUAUGGUGGGAGAAAAUGAAGCAAGGCUGCCUGCGCAACCAAUUCCAAAUCUGAAAGCUCACUGUGGGGCAAUAUCUUCAGUUGAUGCAGUGACUACAAGGAGUGGAGUUAUGUCCGGACCAUUACUUCCUACUCCGAAGACAUAUGUCCCUCCUGCUAUGAGGCCAAGUUCAUCCGGAACUCCACCUUCAACAUCAUCAGAGAAACUAAAGGAGAAAGAAGUUGAUAACCGAAUUGAAACUGAAUUCGAAUUUCCUGGUUUUCAAACAAGAGCUUAG
rnacentral:rRNA from 1 species